UUAGAUCCGAGAGUAACGGUGGUGGUUCUGUCCCGUGUCCACUUUUCUACAACCCACUCCGCCGCCUCGCCGCUAUCCCGACCCCUCCCGGUCUCGCCCAGAGGUGAUUGAUGGCAGCGGCGGCGGCGACGGCGACCGUUGGCGAAAUGUGCACCGGCCAGCAUGAACACCUCCGCCGCUCAGCGUGUUCGCUUGACGCGAUAUGGCAGGCGCCUCCACUCCCAUGCCGCCACCGUCUCGUGAUUACUCUUCUGCAGGUCAGCCAGUGCAAAGGUAGGAUUGGGGCUUAAUUCCUCGUAUCUUUCCGCGCUAGAUUCGAUCUCUGCAGGUUUGUUGUACUUUUAAAUCUUUCAUGGAUCUUAAGUUUCUGAAUAUGUAUUUCAGCCGUGAACGGUUUCAGGAUUCAUCUUUGAUCUAUGUGUUGUGCUUGUGUACUGGACGUGUUAUUCGUCUUUUCUGGUGCUUUUCUGUACCGUUUAAUUUGCUGCGUUGGUGGACAAACGAGGUUACUGGAAGAAGGGGUGCCACCUCCAGCAACGUAGAGGAGAAGGGGUGUUGCUGUCCGCCACAUCUAGCUUGUCCCCAAAAUUGUUGAACUUCUGCUCCUGAGGAGACAAAAGGGAUGCAACAACGGGGUGAGAAGAUCAGAGUGAUGUACUGAAGCCUCCCGUUCCACAUGUUCAGUACUUGCACCUCAACGUCACUUUUUGAGUAGGUUAGGUCGAUCCCUAAUCUCUGUUCCAAUUUAUUCUUUGGUCAUUAUUCUCAGGCUCCUUUUAAAUUAGUGAUUUAUGCUUUGCUUCUGUAUUUUCUUUAGGUUGCAGGUUGUAAGUUGAUUUUGAUUGCUAGCUAGAUUUAUUAAUUAAUCAUCAAUUCAUUUGUAUAUUUCUUAGAGAAUUAACCUAGCCUACAUAAAUGGAUCGGCACCAUAUUUGGACCGAGUAUUAUACUUACUUUAAGUUCAACAUGGUUUAAGUUUGCCAAAAUGCAGGGUAAACAUCAACAUGACUAGGGACAGGCAAAAUGCAAUUUGAAAUCGAUAAUUACUACUGUUGUGUUAGUUUGCUGCCUGAUCAUGAUCAUUCUCUCAAUACGUUGCUCUACAUUGAAAUUACAUCAUCUUUCUCCUCUUGAUUAUUUUCUUCAGUAACUCAGUUGUUGUAGGCUUGGGUCAGAAUAAGCAUAAAAAAGGAACUUAAGUAGCUCGGUGCCGAUGAGGGGUUCACAUAAGAAUAGCUACAAGUAAAGAAUGUCAAUAGCUUGUUGGUACUAGUCAGAACCUGCAUUUCCACCUUAUCAAUCCAUUCAUAACAUUUAUUCAUGUAGUAUUCCUUAUGCUGGUUUUAUUUGGUUUCUGUGGUGCUUUACCAGAGCCCACAUUUGGAUUUACCUCAUUAUUCCAAUUUUUUAUCUGCUUGAGAAGAUUAGGUCAUUAGUGAAACUAGACAUUUUUCUCAUGAGAAGGUUUGGUACAUAACAUACGGUACUAUACUGACAUCCUAUGUUUAUAGUUUUUUUUAUGAAACAACCUAUAUGGAGGCAUUAGUAAUAUUUCUUGUACCAGUAGAAGAUAUUGAUAAAUGUGUUAUAUCGUUGAUCUUACAGUUAAUUUUUCUAGAUUUGGUGUAUAAGUUCUUUAUCUGUUCCGUGGAUACUUCAUAUGCGGAAGAUAAAGAUCGACUAUUAUCGGAGGUGUCUGAUGCUUCUCUGUACCGUUUAAUUUGCAGUGUUGGCGGACAAACGGGCUUACUGGAAGAAGGGAAAAAUCUGAAGGAGAUAAAAAGGUUAUUUUCUUCCAUUUUCCUUAGAAGCCUCCAUAUAUUUUGAUCCUUUUUUUGGACCUUCAGCAGCCAUGUUCGUUGUGUCUGUAUCAUUUCCACCUAUCUUCUCACUCUUGAACCAUUUGGCUCCGGGGUCGAUGUUUUCUUCAUACAUGCAACUGAUCUUGCAUCGCAUCAGAAACUAUGUCCCUAAAUAAGCCCCCACCUGGUGUAUAUUUAGUGUAUAUGUCCUUGCUUAUCUGUUUUGUGGAUACUUCAUAUGCAGAAGAUAAAGAUAAACUAUUAUCGGAGGUUAUUUUACUUAGUUGUACUCCCUCCGUUCCUAAAUAUAAGUUUUUUUAGACUUCUUGAGCCAAUCUCUAUUUAUUGUCGAUGCAUCUUCCAAAAUAAACGAAAAAAUGUUUUCUCCAUAUAUGAAUGACACAUUGACACUAUGGAAUUUUCCAGUCAACUGAUCCUCCUAAGCCUCAUCCUGCAUUCAAUACAUUUAUGUUCCAUUGCUAAUUUCAUUUGUGAUGCCUUAGGAUGGAAAUGUUCCUCGGCACCUUGAUAAACAUCAGUGGGGGGACAACCUUUUAUUUAAUUUUCUGCUGCCGCUUCUGUAUUGUCGAUGCCACAAAGAUUACCUGGACACAAAACCAUGGUGUGUUUAAAAAUGAUUACAUUAUCCUUUUCUAAACUGAUGGUGUUAGAAACAUCUUAGCAUUCGGGCAGGAUUAGGCAGCCCUUUCAUGGAUCUGUUUCUCAUACUAACAUGUUUUGACCUUUGCCGGUGCGUGGUGUCUGUUACAGAUAUAUUUGGGAUACAUGUAUUUGAUAGUCUAGGAUUUGUAAUCUGUCUCCUACCUUAUCUUAAGGAGAGGCGUCUUGCCCUCCAAGUCUUGCACUCAAUAUAUACUCGCCCUCGAGGCUCAAUAAUACAUCCAUCAUAUUCCAUAACAAUCCCUCUCUCUCCCUUCUAACAUGGUAUCAGCCUAACUGAUCCAAACCCUAGCCGCCGCCCGCCGCUUUCGCCCCGCGCGCCGCCCUUGGGGUAGUCGGUCUCCAUGAUCGCCGCCGGGGGCCGCGCCACCCGUAUUGGGGUUUGCCGGCCGGUCGUGUUGAUCGACUGCCCUGAAGAGUCUUUUUUCCCAAGCCCUUGCUUUGGGUUUUCUCUCUCCCGCCGGUCAUCUUGAUCGGCGUUUUUCUUUUUGGUUUUCUGAUCUACGCUUGAUCGGUUUGCGUUGCGCGCCGGCCCGCCCAUCGGUCCACGCCACCCGCCUCCGCCGCGUCUGCACGGUGGCCCUGUGGUCUGCCUCGCCGGCCUCGUUCCCGACUACGUCAGGCUCGUUGGCUGCCUCAGCUCGGGUGUCGUUGCUAUGUUGGUCGCUCGGGCCUCGCUGCCCGGGCGUCGGCGCUGUUUUGGUAGCCCGGGUGUCGGCGCUGACACGCUCGUCUGCACGUCGUCCCACGCCAUCCGUCAUCGUCGGCCUCAUCUUGGACUCUGCCGCCACCCCGCCUCCAUCGAGCACGCGAUCGGCUUGAUCAUCUGCUUGUCGCUGUGAUCCGCCUCAUCUAUGCCACGCGACUGACCUGGCCAGUCGGUUGCGCGCGUCUCCGCAGGUCCCAUGAAGAUCGUCCACGAGUUCAGUGCGUCCCUCCAGCGAUCGAGCAAUGGGUUGCCGCUACGUCGCCUUGUCGGGCCGCAGUGCCACCGCCCCGUGGUUCUCUUCGCGGCUGCAUCGACUCGCGUGCCACCCCUGCGUCGCCCCUUCGUGCCGUAGUGUCACGAUACGCAGUCCCUGCCACCACCCCGAGGCCGUCCCCGCGGUUGCAUCGUCCCACGCUCAGCCGUUGCACCGCCCCGAGGUCUUCCGCCGUCGCCCCGAUUUGCCCGCUGGCACUGCGUCGCCCCUUCGGGCCAUAGUGCCGCGCCAGCGGUCCACCUUCGUCCCCGCGCGUCGACCUGUCGUGGUAUGCGCCGCGUCGCCUCCCUUGGCGCGUGAACGCCAUCGUCCGCGCCGGUCUUCUUCACGCUGUCGGAUUCCUCGCCUACUUCGAGCACCGCCGCCGCGCUACUAACCUAGCCGCCGCCGCUCUUCUUCGGCGGCCGCCGUCGCUACCUUCGUAGCCACCGCCGCCCGUCCACCCCCUUCGUCUUCGUCCAAGCACCAGCCCGUCGUCAGCGUCGCCGUCAUCUACCCCGACCACUUCAUCUACUCUGACCACCGUUGGUGACAUCGGCCCCGCGCCGAUGGACGCCGCAAUCGUUGUCGAGUUCUCUGCUGGCUCCUCCGACUUCUCCGACAUGGCGUACAGCUCGUGCAGGUCCCUCGUCUACGCAUGCCCGGUGCUGGCAACACCGAUGCAUGCCUUCGUCCACGACGUGUCCUCGGGCCUGGCAAGCCUGGUGCGACGCUUCGUCAACUUCGUCUCGUCUGUCUACGCUUGCUCGGUGCUGGCAACACUGACGCAUGCCUUCGUCUACGACGUGUCCCCAGGUUUGGCAAACCCGUCGCGACGCCUCGUCAACACCAUCCUCCUUUUGACGCACCACUACCUCAACACCACUGCGCCCAUGACUAACUCGGCGCCUCCUUGCGCCCGCGGCUCCACGGCGACUCCCUCGACACCGGCUACCUCGACUCGACAUCGACCACGACAUUCUUCGCACGGCUACCUCGACCACGGCUACACCACCCUACGCUCUCGGCUACCUCGACAUCGGCACAAAGGGUCAUCAUCCGCUUGAUCAAUUCGUCGGCUUCCUCUACAGUCAACGCGUCUGUGACGCGACACCGUCCACGACGCUCCCGCUACGACUGUGGGGGGAUGUCAGCCCGUCGACCGCUGUUCUCUCCAGUCUGAUCGUCUGUGACGCUCCUGUUGUUCGCAACGCCACCACUACGACUGCGGGGAAUGUUAGAGAUAUAUUUGGGAUACAUGUAGUUGGUAGUCUAGGAUUUGUAAUCUUUCUCCUACCUUAUCUCCAGGAGAGGCGUCUUGCCCACCGAUACGGAUUUUUGGAUGAAAAAAAUAUUCAAACGACCAGAGGGACGUGUUAAACAAUUUGAGGCGAGGUGGUUGAAAGAAGAGACGGUCACUGAAAUUGUUAAGGCAUCUUGGGAGAAAGCAAAGCUUGCGGGGAUUGGACCUUCACUUGCUGAUCGUACGAGAGCAGUGCAUGCCGAUUUGCAUACUUGGGAUCGGGAAACUCUAAAGGGACCGAAAGUGAGAAUUAGGAAAUUGAAAAAAGAAUUGGAGAAACUAAGACGAGGCCCUCUGGAUACGGAAUCUCGAUGUCGCCAGAAGGAAAUUAUUGUGGUAAUUGAGAAUAUUUUGGAUCAAGAGGAAGUUUUCUGGUUACAAAGAGGACGGGCGAACUGGUUGAUGCAUGGGGAUCAUAAUACAGCUUUCUUUCACAACGCUGCCACGGCCAGAAAAAAAGAAAUAAUAUAAGGAAAUUGUUAGAUGAUUCAGGAAACUGGGUAGAAGAAAAGGAGUUGAGAGAUCACAUCACUAAAUAUUUUUCAAAGCUUUUCACUUCGGAAGUUCUGCAUCCCAAUCAAGAAGUUUUAUCACUUGUCCGUAGGAGAGUGUCAAAUGAAAUGAACACGGAAGAUGUUCGCAAGGCUUUAUUCGAUAUUGGGGACUUGAAAGCUCCAGGACCAGAUGGUCUCCAUGCUAUUUUCUAUAAAAGGUUCUGGCCUAUGCUGGGGGAGGACCUAAUUGAGGAGGUUCUGAAAGCAGUCAAAACAUGUACUAUCCCGACCGGUUGGAACGAUACGGCGAUCGUGAUGAUUCCUAAGAUUAAUACACCAGAAAAGGUAACACAAUUUAGACCGAUCAGCUUAUGUAAUGUGGUAUACAAAAUAAUUGCAAAAAUGGUGGCUACCCGUUUGAAGGUUUUUUUUACCAGAAAUCAUUAGCCCAACACAGAGUGCAUUCGUACCUGGAAGACUGAUAACGGAUAAUAUUUUAGUGGCCUAUGAAUGUUUUCACACAAUUAAGAACAAAAGAGAAGGUAGAGAGGGCUUGUGUGCCAUAAAACUUGACAUGCACAAAGCAUACGAUAGAGUCGAGUGGCCUUUUUUGAAAGAGAUUAUGUUGAGAUUGGGUUUUCGUCAAGAAUGGGUGAAUUUGAUUAUGCAAUGUGUCUCAACUGUCGAAUACAGAGUAAGGAUCAAUGCAGAGCAAAGUGAGAGCUUCAAGCCUACUAGAGGAUUGAGACAGGGUGAUCCGCUAUCAUCAUACCUCUUUUUGCUAUGCACAGAGGGGUUGAAUGCAUUGCUGACACAUGCCGAGGAAAACGAAAACAUAUCAGGAGUUAAAGUAUGUAGGGAAGCCCCGCCAAUCACAAAUCUUCUCUUUGUGGAUGAUUCAUUGAUGUUGAUGAAAGCCAAUCAGCAUAGUGCGGCAGCCCUGAAAUCAGCAUUAGAUUUAUAUUGUGCGGCGUCGGGACAACCGGUAAGUGUGGAAAAAUCCAGCAUUUUUUUAGUCCUAAUACAACGGUUGAGAUCAGGGAACAAAUGUGUACAACACUGAAUAUAAUGACGGAGGCAAUGAAUGAUAAAUACCUGGGUUUACCAGCCAACGUGGGUGCUGAUAAAUCAGACUACUUUAAAUUUCUGAUUGAACGAAUUGUUAAGAAAAUUAGUGGUUGGAAGGAAAAAUUACUGUCUGCCGGGGGAAGGAGAUCCUACUCAAGGCUGUGAUCCAAGCCAUACCUACCUAUGCAAUGUCGGUCUUUAAAAUUCCUAAAAAAAUUUGUAAAGGAAUCAUUGACGCGAUAGCAUUUCUGGUGGGGUGACGAGGAGAACCAGAGGAGGAUGCACUGGAUGGUCUGGUGGAAAAUGUGUGUACCAAAAAACCAAGGUGGAAUGGGAUUCCGUGAUAUCCAUUGUUUCAACCUGGCUUUGCUCGCCAAACAAGCAUGGCGUCUUAUAGAUAAUCCUGAUUCCUUGUGUGCCACUAUUCUGAGGGCCAAGUACUACCCUGAUGGCGAUUUGCUGAAGUCUAAGUCAAAGCGUGGCGCUUCUUUCACCUGGCAGAGCAUUAUGGCAGGUAUAACUACUCUGAAACGUGGCUAUAUUUGGCGAGUGGGUAAUGGACAUAACAUCAAUAUCUGGAAAGAUGCCUGGAUCCCAAACUGUGUCACUAGGAAGAUUGUGACCCCUAGGGGGAGCCAUUUGCUAUCAAAAGUGAGUGACUUGAUUGACCCUGCUUCCAACAAUUGGGACGAGGAACUGAUUAGACAAACUAUGUGGCCCAUUGACGCACAACGAAUUCUUUCAAUCCCACUUUCGCAAUAUGAUAUGACAGAUUUCAUUGCCUGGAGUUACACAAAAAAUGGUAUAUUCUCGGUAAGGUCUGCUUACUCGGUGGAAUGGAAUUAUCAGUAUGAGAGUAGACUCAAAUAUUCUAAUGGGAUGGGCCGAAGCAUACCAAAUCCUAUUUGGUGUCAGAUAUGGAAGUUAGCCUGCCCAGCAAAGGUAAAAAAAAUUAUAUGGCGUACAUUACAUGGCACUCUCCCAUGCCGGGUAACACUCGCUAAUAGACACAUGAAGGUCUCGCCCUCUUGCCCGACUUGCUCUCGGGGUUUAGAAGAUACGAAACACAUGCUUUUCCUCUGUAGUAAAGCAAAGGAGGUUUGGAAGAGACUAGGGAUGGAUGUGAUAAUUGGUAAAGCUUGUGAGGUUGAUCUUGCCGGGGAGGCAAUAUUGGAAUACCUUUUACUUCUUCCAGACCAAGACUUGAGUAUUAUGGGGUACCAAAAUGUACGUGAAAUGAUAGCUAUUUCAGCUUGGUACCUAUGGUGGGAAAGACGAAAGUUAGUGCAUAAGGAAUUAACUCAGAAUGCAAAUCAGAUAGCAAUGGGGAUCAUAGCUCUCACAUCCAACUUUGUAAAUGCAUCAUCUCCAAAGGCGACGAUGAAAAAGGGGGGUUGGUACUGUCCUCCUAGGGGUUUUGUGAAACUUAAUGUUGACGCCUCUUUUGAUCAUGAUAUGUUGAAGGGUACGAUGGUGGCAGUUUUAAGAGACCAUAAAGGUAGGUUCAUUGCAGGAGGAAAUGGAAAGAUUGACUAUUGUGCGGAUGUUUUGAUGGCUAAAGCUUUAGCUCUCAAGUUUGGCCUAACAAUGGCGCAAAGGAUGGGGUGUAACCGCCUAAUCAUCAACUCAGACAACAUGGAGGUGGUUGAGACCAUGCAGGAAGGAGGACAAUCAACGGGGGCGGCGGCAGCAGUCUUCGAGGAUUGUUACCACUACGCCUGUGAUUUUGUCACGACUAGAUUCGAACAUUGUAAUAGAGAGGCAAAUAAAGUAGCUCAUGAACUUGCUAGAUUAGCUAGAUUUUCUUCGACUUCCGACUGGUUUGAGGAACCUCCAAAUGAAAUUGUAAUGAUCCUCACAAACGAUGUACUGGUUAUUUUAAAUGAAUAAAGCUUCAUUUUAAAUAAAAAAAGAAGUCUUGUAUUCAAUAUAUACUCGCCUCGCCUUCAAGGCUCAAUAAUACAUCCAUCAUAUUUCGCAACAAUCCCUCUCUCCCUUCUAACAGUGUCUACUAUUCAUACCUAAAGACGGAGCCAUGGUGUGUUUAAGUUCCUCCACUGUGCAUGUUUUCAUAUAUACUAUUUAUGGAUUAUAUUCUACCUUCGCUUCAUAUCAAGAACAACAGAAAUUGCUAACUGGGUUUCUAUUUAAGGGUGGUUGUGUGUGUCUGCGAAUGAAAAAGUAGUCAGAUAAAAGAAAUCAUGUUAAUGCUGUUAGAUUGAAACUAUGGUUCCUUUCCCGAGGUCCACUGGACACUGCCUACCCAGUACGCAUAUACCCUUCUAAAUUUGAGCAAGCUAAAUGAUAAUUUGAAACACUCAAAGCUAAGUGGAUUUGGUGGGGGUUCCAAAAUUAAUUGCUAUCAGUUAGCUCUGGAGAAGGAAUCAGAUGACAAAUACUUGUGCAUUAUUUUUGAAGGUAGGAUAUGAUCCUACACAUUUGGAAAAUAUGUAUAUGGUUUAUUGGAAAGUGGAUGGACAUUGAAACAUGAGCUAAUUAACGUCUUAACACUAUAAAUGCAUGUAAAAAUAUGAUCAACCAUAAGUAACAUCUUACACUACAAAUACACUUGAAAUUGUAUAAUGUAAUAUUACAACUACGUGUUUUAACAUAUUUUUUAACACUGUCAUACAACAUUUAAAAUGUAUGGUGUAGCAAAGCAUGCCAUUAAUGAUCUAGUAAAAAUGAAGACAUGGCAUGCUGAUUGCAUGGCAGAAGAUAAAAAGGUACACGUCAAUUUUUGAUAGAAAUGCUGCAAAAAAUGUAUAGGGAGUAGAGAGAGGUACAACAAAAAUGGUGAUGCAGGAGCAGGAGGCAAGCUGUGCAUGUAGGAAUGAAUAUGUUUGCUUGUUUAAGAGAGAUGCCACACACACGGGGUUUUACAUGGUUUUACGGGGUGGUUAGGAUUUAAUUGGCUCAGAUUUGAUAAAGUGAGGUGGGCCCACCACUUAAAAUAGGGGCAGGGGGCAAUUAGUGAAGGCCACGCAACAGGGUCCAUGAAAGUCCGUGACUUUUACGGGUGUGUGUAGUAUUAUCGCUUGUUUAGUAUAGUACAACAAAUCUCUAUCUCUACUAUACUUAAAAAAAAGAUUAAGGUUCCUUCUCCUACCGCCGGACCAUGUUCUGCCCUCCCUUUGUGCACCUCCCCGUGUUCGGUUUCCUGCCCGCUCACCCCGCCUCUAUUUUUCUCGUGAAAAGAAACCCUUGAGAAAAUAUGAGCCAUCCCGAUCCAAAUCUCUAUGUCCCAUCCCGAUCUGGCCGCCGCCACCAUUGUCGACGCCACCUACCCUUCCCUUUCUUCUCGCAAGCGACGGAUGAGAUCGUCGUCUCAAGCAGCGCGCCACGCGCUUGGCCCCGCCCACGGACGCAGAGCACCUACGUCCAGCUUGUGAGUUGUGACCCAGCGAUUCGAUGCGAACGCCAUGAGGUACUUCUCCUAUGGCGCCCCCCGUCCACCGGCUUCCUCCAGGUCUUGAAGCUCCUCUCAUCUCUCUCGUGUGCUCUACCCUCCUCCUUUCGAGAUAUCUCCCUCCCCGAACAUGUGUUCCCCCCUCCCAAUUCACUCUCGCCCAUCUCCCGAUCCAUCGCAGGUUUCUCUCUUUCCCAUGUGCUGGCGCCAAAUCAUGGACUCCGGGAACGGUGGGGCAUAGGCGACUGGCCCUAUUCCCCUUUCCAUUCUUGCGGGGUCUCUCCCGGCGUCUCUUUUCUCGUCUCUGCUGAGUCGGCCAAACGACGACUAUUAAGGAUGCGUGAGGAGGCGAUUCCGGGAGGGUGUGGGUGCGCGGCUGGCUAACGCCCUAACUGCGAUUUGCUGCAGCUUGUGGCCUUGAUUCCUGCUCUGAUUGAUGCGUGCGUGGUGUUGGUAAUAUGCGUGCGUGUGGUGUUGGUAUUCCCCGCCUGAGAGAUGCGUGCAUGGUGUUGGUAGAUGUAGUGCUGUGUUGACCGAGGUGUGCUUGUUCUUAGAUUGAUGCAAGACCUGCAAACUGAUGUCCCCUCUCUGACACAUGUAAUUCAGAUGCAUGUGUGAUCUGUACUGCCACGUCCCUAUCUGUUGCAUAAUUUUCAUGACAACCAGCAAAUAGGAGCAGCCCUUGGUGAUGGAAGAGGGAGAAGCGAUGGGAUUCAACACAUUCAUUAGCUCUGCAGGCUGAGGUUAUAUACAGUUUUACAGAGGUUCGUGUGCCACUACCAGGCGAUCGUGGGCUAACAGGAUGCCCACUACUCUCACGCAUGCACAGACAAGAGGUCGUGCCGUAUACACAAUCCGUACGUAGGUACACUACGUAUACUCUAACACCCCCCCCCCCCAGUCUUGGCGUCGGUCGGAGCGACGCAAAGACUGUCCCGGAACUGGAGGAAAACGUCCGUGGACAAGUCUUUGGUCAUGACAUCGGCGAGCUGCUGCUUGGUGGGGAUGUGAAGGACUCUGAACUCGCCCAGCGCCACGCGCUCUCGUACAAAAUGGAUGUCGAGCUCCACAUGCUUGGUGCGCCGGUGAUGCACUGGGUUCGCGGAGAGGUAGCAGGCCGAGACAUUGUUGCAGAAGACCACUGUCGCCGUGCGGACUGGGAGGAGGAGCUCGCCGAGAAGCUGACGAAGCCACGCACUCGGCGACAGCAUUGGCGACGCCACGGUACUCGGCUUCGGCGCUGGAGCGCGACACCGUGGCCUGGCGCUUGGACGACCAGGAAACGAGGGUGUCGCCGAGGUAGACGCAGAAGCCAGAUGUCGAGCGGCGGGUGUCCGGGCAGCCGGCCCAGUCGGCGUCGGUGUAGGCGCGGAGAUCCAGUGUAGACGAGGCGCGUAGAUGGAGACCGUGGGCGGGCGCGCCGCGCGCGUAGCGCAGCGCACGCUUGACGAGAGCUUGGCGGCAGUCCCGCGGAUCAUGCAUGUGCAGGCAAACCUGCUGGACGGCGUACGCGAGCUCGGGCCGCGUGAUGGUGAGGUAUUGGAGAGCCCCGGCGAUGCUGCGGUACGCCGACGAGUCAGGCACACGCGGGCCGCUAGCCUGAGGAAGAAGCCCGCCUCUGGUGUCGAUGGGCGUGGGCGACGGCUUGCAGGUGUCCAUGCCCGCGCGUUCGAUGAUCUCCUCGGCGUACUUCUGUUGACAGAGGAAGAAGCCCGCCUGCAUGCGCGUCACCUGAAUGCCGAGGAAGUAGCGGAGCGCGCCAAGGUCCUUCAUGGCGAACUCAACAGUGAGCCGGUGCACAAUGCGAUGAAGAAGAGCCGGAGUCGAGGCGGUGAGGACGAUAUCGUCGACGUAAAGAAGAAACGCCGUGUCCGCCCCGCUGGUGUAGAUGAACAGGGAGGAGUCGGAGCGCGUCGCCGUGAAGCCGACCGUCUUGAGGAAGCCGACGAACGUCUGGAACCAGGCGCGGGGAGCUUGUUUAAGCCCGUAAAGCGACUUGUUCAGACGGCAGACAUGGUGCGGCCGAGCCUCGUCGACGAAGCCUGCGGGCUGGAGGCAGUACACCUCCUCGGCGAGCGUCCCAUGCAGGAACGCAUUCUUGACGUCCAGUUGGUGGACGGGCCACCCUCGCGAAGCAGCUAUGGUGAGAACAGUGCGGAUGGUGGCUGGCUUGACCACCGGCGAGAAGGUCUCGCCGUAGUCCACGCCCGCAUGCUGAUGAAAGCCGCGGACGACCCACCGCGCCUUGUAGCGUUCCAGAGAGCCGUCAGCGCGGAAUUUGUGCUUGAAGACCCAUUUGCCUAUGAUCAGGUUGGCGCCAGGCGGACGUGGAACCAGCUCCCAAGUACGGUUGGCGACGAGCGCGGCGUGCUCUUUGCGCAUGGCCGCGAGCCAGUGCAGAUCGCGGACGGCGACGCGCACAGAGCUUGGCACGGGAGAGAGCGAAGUGGAAGGCAGAGCAGCCGCAGCGUCGUAGUACUUGGGGUUCGGCUUGAAGAUGUCGGCCUGAGCCCGGGUCAGCACACGCCGCGACGGGCCGGCCAGAGCGGGCGGCGCGGAGGAGACGCUGGAGUCAGCGGAAGGCGUGCUCGACGACGAGGAGCAGGAGCCGUCCGUGCACGAUCCAGCGGCCGUGUUUGAAGUAGCAGAACGCGCGCUUGAUCGAGUAGCGCGGGAGCCGUCCGCGCGCGAUCUAGCGGCUGUGUUUGAACCAACAGAUGGCGCACGAGGGGACGGGAUGGCGAUGCCGUCCAGUCCUGAUCCGACGGCCCGCGGCGUGCAUGGUCGAACGACAGGUGAAGAAGGAACCUAACGGGCGAUCUGAAGCAGGGGCGGCGCGCCAAGGGGCGGAGGCGCCGGCGGAGCAACAGGUGGAGUGCUGUAAGCGUAGGGAAGGUGUCUUCAUGGAAGUAGACAUGGCGUGAGGUGAGGACUUGUUUAGACGGAAGGUUGAGGCAGCGGUAACCGCGGUGAUCAGAGGGAUAACCAAGGAAAACGCAGGCCGACGAGCGAGCGUCGAGUUUGUGGCGCGAAGUAGCAGCAGUGCUGGGGUAGCACAGGCAGCCAAAAACACGAAGCGAGGCGUAAUCGGGUGCCACACCGAGCAGGAGCUCAUGUGGAGUGCGCGGCGAGGUGCGAUGACAGGGGCGUCUGUUGAGCAGGUAGGUGGCGGUGUUCAGGGCUUCGGCCCAAAAACGUGGCGGCAGCGAGGCAUGGAAGAGCAGUGUGCGCACGCUGUCGUUGAGGGUGCGAAGAGUGCGCUCCGCCUUGCCGUUCUGUUGGCUGGUGUACGGGCAAGACAGCCGGAGCACGGUGCCGUGGGAAGCGAGGAGUGCACGGGAAGCGUGACUGUUGAACUCGCGUCCGUUGUCAAUUUGAACAGAAAACACUGGCAACUGAAACUGAGUGCGCGCGUAGGCAUAGAAAUCACGCAAAAUGGGCAGCACGUCAGAUUUGUUCUUGAGAGGGAAGGUCCAGACAUAAUGAGUGUAAUCGUCAAGAACCAGGUAGAAUUGGUAGCCAGAAAUGCUAGGAACAGGAGAUGUCCAUACAUCCAAGUGCAGUAGUUGAAAUGGGAAAUAAGCACAGCUAAGAGAAUCUGAAAAAGGCAAGCGCACAUGUUUGGCAACGCGACAUGCGUGGCAAGAGUGAGGCGCUGAUUUUGUGAAACUAAAUGGAAACUGACUAGCUACAUGCUGAAGUUGUGCGAGUCCUGGAUGCCCAAGGCGCUGGUGCAGGCGAUCGGUGGUGACAGCGCCAGCGAAGGGAAGCACAGUGGACCGGGCCGCCGUCACAGAGUAGAGGUCGCCAUCGGAAUCACAGCGGAGGAUCACCACCUGAGUUCGCAGGUCCUUGACAGAGAAACCAAGCAAGUCAAAUUCCACUGAAACGGGAUUGUCACGGCAAAUUUGACGGACAGAAAGGAGGUUUUUGAUGAGAGAAGGUGAGACAAGAACGUUGCGUAGCUGUACGGGGGAGGUGCUAGUAAUGAGAGAACCAGAACCAGUGUGUGUAAUGGGAAGAUGCUCACCACUGCCAACGAUAAUAUGAGAGGAAGAGGAAGAGGGGAGCAGAGACUGGAGAGUACCAGGCGAGUUGGUCAUGUGUGCAGCGGCGCCGGAGUCCAUGUACCACUCGAAGGAGCUGCCGGAGGACGACGGGCCAGCCGUGGCGCUGUGGAGCGCGGCCUGGAGCGAAGUCAUGUCCAGAGCCUGGUGCUGGUGCUGCUGGGGCACGCCGGGGGGCACGGUGGCGUAGUUGGGCACGGGCCCGUAGUCGGGCGAUGCGUAGCCGCCGUAGCCGUACGCGCCAGGGAGCGGGGGCGCAGGAGCAGCAUACAUGGCCUGCUGUGGUGGAGUGCCGGGCCGGGGCCCAAGGACGCCAGAACCCGGAGGACGCCAGGGCAUGGGCCAUGCUUGGACAAGGCCAGUCCAAGAGUUGGUGCCGGGCACGGAUGCGGGCAAGCCGGGGACGCGUGGAGGCGCUUGCUGAGGGAGACCACUGGUGCCGGAGCCGCCACCGUUGCCAGAGCCGCGCCCGCGGCGACGCCCGCAGCCACCACGCCGGGAGCGGCGGGGGGAACGGCGACAGGCGGAGCGGUUGGUGGUGGAGUGCCGCGCCCGGCGACAAGCGCGUGCGCGCCGUCUGCUCGGCACGGUGCUCCUCAAGGAGGAGGAAGGAGCACGUCUGAAGAAGCGUGGGGAGGGGGUUGCGCGAAGUGAUGUGCGGGAUGGCACCAUGGUACUGGCGCGCGAGCCCACGCAGAAGAUGGAAGACUUGGCGCGUUUCCGUCACCGGUUGGCCGAGGUCGCGCAGCUGGUCGGUGUACGUCUUCAGCUUGGUGCAGUAUUGCAUGAUCGUCAGGUCGCCCUGCACCACGGCGUGGUACUCGGCGUCGAUGUAGACCGCCCGGGGGAGCUGGUUGCCGCGAAAGACGCCGUCGAUCGACGUACACACGGAGAGCGCCGUGUCCUCCUCUUGCAUCACGACGUCCAGGAGAUCGGGCGCAACAGUGGUGUUGAGCCAGUGGACGACAGCAUGAUCGGCCAUCGCCCACUCGGGAUCGUCGAAGCGCGGCACCGCCGCAGCGUCAAGGUUAGCGCGUAGCCCGAACAUGCCGAUCGCUGUGUCGAAGUGACGGCGCCACUGCGCGUAGUUGCCGGCGAGGAGAUCAAGAGUGACUGGGACGUGGCGGCGUAUGUCGAUGGUCUGAAACACCGAAGAGGGGAGCGGGGACACGGGCGCCGGUGCGAUGGCGGCAGGCGGAGCGGGAGCAGCCGGUGGCACGGCGGGGAGGAGCGCUAGAGGUGGGGCAGGAGCGACGAGAGCGCCGGAGUCGCUAGCAGCAGGAGAGGGAGGAGGGCUGGGGUGGUCACCCAUGGCGGCGGAAGCGGGAUCGACGACCGGAGCAAAGGGAUUGGCCUGGUCGACGGUAUCUGAUACCAUGAUGGAAGAGGGAGAAGCGAUGGGAUUCAACACACAUUCAUUAGCUCUGCAGGCUGAGGUUAUAUACAGUUUUACAGAGGUUCAUGUGCCACUACCAGGCGAUCGUGGGCUAACAGCAUGCCCACUACUCUCACGCACGCACAGACCAGAGGUCGUGCCAUAUACACAAUCCGUACGCAGGUACACUACGUAUACUCUAACACUUGGUUUUUUUUUAAAUGAGGAGCAGCCCUUGUGAUUUAGACAAAGUUCACGCCAAGGAGGUUCAUUGGGUGGCCAUGAGAGGUAGCAAACGAACAACCUGUAUCUCUCCUAGUAGAUCGUAAUUCGUCUCUUACAUAUGUUUUAGAUUGUGAAGUACCUUUUUUGAACAUAAUCACAUUGUUUUGCUUCUUUGAUGAUUGAUUUUCAUACACUUCAACAAUUAUGUAGUUAUUUAUUGUGGCGAAUACGGAGUUCAUGCACAGGGAAGAAGGUUUCACUGAGUCGUCUUAUUCCCUUGGCUGAUGCCUCCACAAAUUUCAUAUUUGUCUUAUGUUUCGGAAAGCAUGAAUUUCGUGUUCAAGGGAAACAUAAUGCUAUUGUACAGAUGACUACGAG
rnacentral:lncRNA from 1 species